rnacentral:lncRNA from 1 species
AACCCUCGAAUCCCUGCCAAAGUUCUCGAAUCUUCAUCCAAAGGAAAGACUGGUCUGCCGUCCACGGCGGCGCCGGCUCCAACGGCCACCAAAAACACACCCUAGCAUCUUCUUUGCCUCCUCUACCUGAAUCUAACACUAGUUUCCCUCAAAUUAUAGUAUAAGGAUUCGAAUAUUGAUUUGAAAUUUGGCCAAAAACCCUAAUUCCUGAAUGUUUGGGGAUUUGUCAAUUUUGGGUUAUAAUAGCCUUUAAUCAUGUAUUUUCUGAUGAAAACACAUGAUUAAAGACGGUUCUAAUGCAAGUCAGAUCAGAAAGCUUCCUUUGUUCAAGUUUGAGUUAUUGCACUUCGAGGUAUUUCAUGUUUACCUUCUCUCUUAUUUUAUCCAUGAUCUUUAUUUUUAUUUUAUUUCUUUUAUUAUUCUUUUUACUCAGAGUUCGUUUCAUUUUUAAUCCGGAUUCCGGUUUAGGGUUCUAAUUUCUUCUCAUAGUCAUAUAGUUUGAUUUUGUUUUGCUAUUAGUUGUUUGACCGUUGAUUGGAUUUCAAUAAUAGGAUUGCAUGUUUAGAUGUAGCUUUGCAUUUUUCUUUUAAUUGUGUUAGUAUCAGCCCUUUUGCUUGAAUUCAGUUGAUUAAUUUGCAGUUGUGUUACUUUGAUGGUCCAUUAGUCUUAGAAUGCGUAAGGGAGAGAACUACACUGUCUCAUUCAAACUUGCAUCAUAUUGAUGUUAAUUUCAAGUUGUCUUCCUUAAAAGAAAUUGGAAUGACCUAAUGCGAGUUGUUAAUGUUCAGAAGUUUGGGUGUGUAUUUGAGGUUGUUUGGACUUUGUUUACUGGCUUUGUCUUGCUAAUAUUCCCCUCCUGAAUGAUUUGACGAUUAGCCAGUGGGAUUUAAAGUGUUUAUUACUGUUGUUUGUUGCUGCUGUGCUAACUAUCAUUUUCACUUUAUUCGAAUUCCAGGUACAUUUUCAAUGUCUAUUCAUGUAUGAAGCCUGAACAGAAUGUAUUCCCAAGUUUAAAGAUCAAUGUCCUUUAUUUUUC